rnacentral:rRNA from 1 species
CCAGAGAACUUAGCAGAGAUGCUUUGGUGCCUUCGGGAACUCUGAGACAGGUGCUGCAUGGCUGUCGUCAGCUCGUGUUGUGAAAUGUUGGGUUAAGUCCCGCAACGAGCGCAACCCUUAUCCUUUGUUGCCAGCGGCUCGGCCGGGAACUCAAAGGAGACUGCCGGUGAUAAACCGGAGGAAGGUGGGGAUGACGUCAAGUCAUCAUGGCCCUUACGGCCAGGGCUACACACGUGCCACAAUGGCGCAUACAAAGAGAAGCGACCUCGCGAGAGCAAGCGGACCUCACAAAGUGCGUCGUAGUCCGGAUUGGAGUCUGCAACUCGACUCCAUGAAGUCGGAAUCGCUAGUAAUCGUAGAUCAGAAUGCUACGGUGAAUACGUUCCCGGGCCUUGUACACACCGCCCGUCACACCAUGGGAGUGGGUUGCAAAAGAAGUAGGUAGCUUAACCUUCGGGAGGGCGCUUACCACUUUGUGAUUCAUGACUGGGGUGAAGUCGUAACAAGGUAGGCGUAGCGAG